rnacentral:rRNA from 1 species
UUUGCCUACGGGACGCAGCAGUGAGGAAUAUUGGUCAAUGGUCGGGAGACUGAACCAGCCAAGCCGCGUGAGGGAGGAAGGUACAGAGUAUCGUAAACCUCUUUUGUCAGGGAACAAAGGCGGGGACGUGUCCCCGGAUGAGUGUACCUGAAGAAAAAGCAUCGGCUAACUCCGUGCCAGCAGCCGCGGUAAUACGGAGGAUGCGAGCGUUAUCCGGAUUUAUUGGGUUCAAAGGGUGCGUAGGCGGAUUUUUAAGUCAGCGGUAAAAUGUCCGGGCUCAACCCGGGCCGGCCGUUGAAACUGGG